rnacentral:tRNA from 1 species
GUUUUAAUAGUUUAAACAAAAUAAUGAUCUUGUAAAUCAUAGAUAGGAUGUACCUUUAAAACU